UGUGGAUUAAUCUCGGCAAAUUAUACAAUUAAACACAGUUGAGUCGAACUUUCAUAUGCCGAAUUUACGGAUGUGUCGAACUUCCUUUUUCUCGAAGUAAGAGUUUGGUCCCUGUUUAUUCCUUCCUAGGUUAUGUGGCGUUUAUACCGAACCUGAGAUAACUCGAAGCAAUCACGUGGGUCACUUCAACCUCGACACAAGUGUGAUGACAUAAGGGAUACUUAAUGACGCAGCCUUUACUUCGACACAUCGGUGUUUGAGUGCUAUUGUACCGCCUUUAUUAGUGCUGACGGUCGGUCACCACAUUCAUAGAACAUAAUACUUAUCUCACAUACAUUAGUGCAUGGAGCAGUCUAAGGUGCAAUUUGAAAAUGGGUCCAAGUGGGUCGUAGCUAGGCGAUGAGUAAACAGAUAAGCUGAGGACAUUGUAAUGUCACCCUGUCUAACAGUUACCUGAAUGGCAUAAUUCAUCCGUCUAUGUGUUGAGUAUUGAUUGCUUGUGCAAGGGAGGAGACGUCUGCGAACAGAUUAACAAAGCCUUCCAAUGAAUGGCAACAUGUGUCUCAAUAUCUCUAGUCAUUCUUUUUAGGAAACAAAUUCACGUGUACAUUUAAUAGAGUGAUAAUGAGGGCAAUAGAAUACGUAAGUAUUGUCUGCAUAAAGAAACGUACAUUUGAGCAUGUAUUUAGAAAUGUCUCAUGUUUUCAAAGUGAACGAUGUUUUGUUUGUUUGCAACACUCUGCGAUAUUAUGUGGUGGAGUCUGUAAUCGCAUCUUGGCUAGAAAAUCCAGUGAUCAACAGCAGGAGCAUCGAUCAACGCAAUCACGUCACGAUGACAUGUGUCAACCAAGUCAGCAAACCUGACCACACGAUCCCGUUAGUUGCCUUUUACGACAAGAAUGGGUUGCUAUAUAUGAAUUCUAACCCUUAUCUUCACGGGCUUGUGUAAUCCAGUACCACGCAACCUAUCGUGGUUGUUUUACUGGCGAGUCUGACGUUGCGAUAGCAUAUCCUGUAUGACAGUUCUUUGUUGGACUCAUUAUUACCAACCUCAAAUGGUAGGUUUGACUAAAGCUUAAGACAAUUUUAAUAAUUCCAUGGAGAUGGAAUCAAACUGUCGAUAGGAGUCCUGCGCAGACACAAUAAAGCUAGAUCGGAAUACA